GGGUCGGUAUCCCGAGCGGCAAAGGGGAUUGACUGUAAAUCAAUUGGCUAUGCCUGCGUGAGUUCGAGUCUCACCCGGCCCUC
rnacentral:tRNA from 1 species